CCUAAGGCCAACUUGACUUCGCAUUCCAGGACGUCUGGCUCUAGCACCCAGAACAAUUCUGAUAGUCAGAAAGUACCUAGAAAUUGCUUGCUGACACUCUUAAGUCAUCUGUAAAGCAGAAGGAUGCCACAAAGGACUAUGAUAAAACCAGAGUGAAACAGCUAGAUCCAAGAUGGUGGAUAAAGUAAGCUAAAGUUACCUCCUAGUAUUGGCAGAGAUGCCUUGCAGCUGUACCAUAAGAGAUAAGUGCUUUGAGAAAUAUACAGUGGUCAACCACCCCCAACCAGCUCUGACUUGAUCACAGGAAUGUUCCAGCUCAGAUGAAACCCAGAGGGCUUCCCUGGUGGCUCGGUGGUAAAGAGUCGGCCUGCC